UGGGGAAUUUUGCGCAAUGGGGGAAACCCUGACGCAGCAACGCCGCGUGAGUGAUGAAGGCCUUCGGGUCGUAAAGCUCUGUCAGAGGGGAAGAAGUGUGAGGUGGCUAAUAUCCAUUUCACUUGACGGUACCUUCAAAGGAAGCACCGGCUAACUCCGUGCCAGCAGCCGCGGUAAUACGGAGGGUGCGAGCGUUGUUCGGAAUUAUUGGGCGUAAAGCGCGUGUAGGCGGUUUUUUAAGCUGAUGUGAAAGCCUGCAGCUUAACUGUAGAAUUGCCAUUGAUACUGUCGCUCUUGAAUGCGGUUGAGGCAGGCGGAAUGUGUAAUGUAGCGGUGAAAUGAUUAGAUAUUACACAGAACACCGAUUGCGUAGGCAGCUUGCUAAACCGUGAUUGACGCUGA
rnacentral:rRNA from 1 species